UAGGGAAUCUUCGGCAAUGGACGAAAGUCUGACCGAGCAACGCCGCGUGAGUGAAGAAGGUUUUCGGAUCGUAAAACUCUGUUGUUAGAGAAGAACAAGGACGUUAGUAACUGAACGUCCCCUGACGGUAUCUAACCAGAAAGCCACGGCUAACUACGUGCCAGCAGCCGCGGUAAUACGUAGGUGGCAAGCGUUGUCCGGAUUUAUUGGUCGUAAAGCGAGCGCAGGCGGUUUAUUAAGUCUGAUGUGAAAGCCCCCGGCUCAACCGGGGAGGGUCAUUGGAAACUGGGAGACUUGAGUGCAGAAGAGGAGAGUGGAAUUCCAUGUGUAGCGGUGAAAUGCGUAGAUAUAUGGAGGAACACCAGUGGCGAAGGCGGCUCUCUGGUCUGUAACUGACGCUGAGGCUCGAAAGCGUGGGGAGCAAACAGG
rnacentral:rRNA from 1 species